UGUGGGGACCCACCACCCACCUCAGCUCUUAUGUUCUUUUUCUCCACAGCCAGGGAAAAGAAAUCUUACACGCAAGCCCCAGGUGAUUAUGGGAUGGACCGGAUGGGGAGAGGAAGCCCCAGGUGUUCCUAAGCAUGGCCGAGAUGCCUUAGACUCAGGAUGGGGGCGGGACAUGGGGUGGAGAGGACCCCCAUGAUUCCCAGAGCGCAGCAAGAGCAGGGCCUGCUCAGUCCAUCUGCUGACAGAAGUUCACCAUCACAGAUCAAGGAGAUGUUUUGUGAGGUGUUUGCACUGGCUGGCUGGUAUGAAAUCUGACUGUGCAGGGCCCACCCUGCCCCCAAACGGAGCCCUCCUCACCCCCAUCAGCCUUGUUACAAGAGGUCUGUGCCACUAAGAUGGCUUUGCCAUCUUCCUGAAGUGCUUUUAAAGGUGUAAUUAUUUCCUGUUUUGGGGGUGGGGAGGAGGGCAGUAGUAAUUCCUCAACUCCUUUUACACUUGGCAGUUUGCAAAACAAUUUCAUGUUAAGUGUAAAUCCCACCGGAGCCUCUCAGGCGCCCUGUGAGUUUGGCGAUGUUGUUCUCAUUCCCACGUCCCCGACGUGAAGACCAAGGGUCUGGGCAGGCAGGGAAGAGGCAGAACAACAGGCAGAGUUACAGGGGCAGCGUCCUGCGUGCGUCCGCCAGCAUCGGGAAGAGACGGCUGGAUGCCUGCCUCCUUACAAGUGUGUCCUUCUAUGUGUGUAUAACCCCCUUUUGUAAAGAUUAGCGUGUCGGGGCUGUGAGGGCGUAGGGGAGGUGGUAAGGGUGGGUGCGUGUGUAUGUGAGGGUGAGGGUGUGUGGGUGUGUAAGUGUGAGGGUGAGAGGAUAUACGGGGUGUGUGUGAGGGUGAGUGUAUGGUGGUGUGUGGGUACCUUGCGUAUAUGAGGAGAAGCUGAGAGAGACAGGUGCCUGGGGCCCUGUUCGUUGGUCCCGGGCAGCUGGAGGAUGAGAAACAACACAGGCCUCGUUUUCCAUUAUUUCCUGUCCUUUUGAAUGGUUUGAAUUUUUACAAUAAGCACGUGUUACCUUUACAAUAAGGGAAAGACCCCUUUUCACUGUGUCCUGUGGAAAUGCUUGUGAAGGAUAUGUCUGGAGAAGGCCCAGCCUCACCUUUGCAUUUUCAGUGGAGCCAUUUGAUGUGCUAGGGGCUGGGACUCCAGAGCCCUGGCAGAGAGAGGGAGCGCUCCACCGUCAUAAAGAACACGGGGCCAGACCCCUCCCAGGGCACCCUCUGCCUCCCCUUCAGCUGACCCCAAGGUGUGACAGAGCCUCCUGUGCAGACUUUUGAAACCUCCGUGUCUGCAGCCCUGGGAGGCUCUGAGCCCAAGGAUGUGAACAAUUGUGAUACUAGAAAAAGAUUCAGCCUGCCCCGGUGACCUGCAAGACCUCAGCCGUGAGCUCGUAAUUAUCAGACUGUACUGAACACGUGUCUUAAAUGUCUGUCUUUCUCAGUGAUGUUCUCAUGUUCUGUAUAUGCUGUGCGAACCACAUCCUAAGCAUGGUUCUAAGCACUUUACUGUAUAAGCUGUUUAAUCUUCAAAGCACACCUGUGCAGGGAAAUUCAUACUCCUGUGCUACAGGUGAGGAAACUGAGGCUCAAGGUCCCACAGCUGGUUCAUGGCAGGGCUGGGAUGUGAGGCCAGGCAGUCUGGCUGCAGCCUGGGCACCUCACCACUGCACCAAAAGCCUCCAUAACUCAUGCUGUUCUGUAAAUGGGCGAGUAAGUACAGGUCUGCAAUCCCUUAUCUGCAAUUCUGAAAUCCAAAAAAAAAAACCAACUCUAAAAGCCAGAAGUUGCUUCCUAACUGUCAUGAAAGCCUGUCAUGGGAGAGGGGCAGGAGAAAAGCAAAAAACAAACAAACAAAAUCAGCCCCAGAGUGAAGUGAGGUUAUUCAUACUCUUUGUUUACUUCCCGUAGUGUGCCUUUUCGCAAUUUUCCACAGAAAUGCUGAUGUGGGGGAUUAUGGGGUGUCAUCCCAGACCCCUUCAGUAGUGCUACGUAAUAUUCAGCCUCCACACCUUGGUACCUUUCUAAAGCCCAAAGAAUUCAAAAUUCUGAAAUACAUCUGGCUCUAAGGGUUUCGGGUAAGGGAUUGUGGACCUGUAUUAAUAAGGUUUUGUGGAAAUAAACAUGUUUUAUAUUUUCA